rnacentral:rRNA from 1 species
UACCAGCUCUCCGAGUGGUGUGGAUGUUUAUUGGGCCUAAAGCAUCCGUAGCUGGCUGGACAAGUCCCCUGUUAAAUCCACCGAUUUAAUCGUUGGUGUGCGGGGGAUACUGUUCGGCUAGGGGACGGGAGAGGCCGACGGUAUUUCCGGGGUAGGGGUGAAAUCCUAUAAUCCCGGGAAGACCACCAGUGGCGAAGGCUGUCGGCUAGAACGCGCCCGACGGUGAGGGAUGAAAGCUGGGGGAGCGAACCGGAUUAGAUACCCGGGUAGUCCCAGCUGUAAACGGUGCAGGCUAGGUGUUUGGGCGGCCACGUGCCGCUCUAGUGCCGCAAGGAAGCUGUUAAGCCUGCCGCCUGGGGAGUACGGCCGCAAGGCUGAAACUUAAAGGAAUUGGCGGGGAGCACCACAAGGGGUGAAGCUUGCGGUUU